rnacentral:rRNA from 1 species
ACGCUCGACACCUACGGGAGGCAGCAGUAGGGAAUCUUCCACAAUGGGCGCAAGCCUGAUGGAGCAACACCGCGUGAGUGAAGAAGGGUUUCGGCUCGUAAAGCUCUGUUGUUGGAGAAGAACGUGCGUGAGAGUAACUGUUCACGCAGUGACGGUAUCCAACCAGAAAGUCACGGCUAACUACGUGCAGCAGCCGCGGUAAUCUGAGCGGGCUGGCAAGGC